CGGACGGGUGAGUAACGCGUGAGAACCUGCCUCUUGGCCGGGGACAACAGUUGGAAACGGCUGCUAAUCCCGGAUGAGCCGAAAGGUAAAAGAUUAAUCGCCAAGAGAGGGGCUUGCGUCUGAUUAGCUAGUUGGUAGUGUAAGAGACUACCAAGGCGACGAUCAGUAGCUGGUCUGAGAGGAUGAUCAGCCACACUGGGACUGAGACACGGCCCAGACUCCUACGGGAGGCAGCAGUGGGGAAUUUUCCGCGAUGGGCGAAAGCCUGACGGAGCAAGACCGCGUGGGGGAGGAAGGUUCUUGGAUUGUCAACCCCUUUUCUCAGGGAAGAAGAAAGUGACGGUACCUGAGGAAGAAGCAUCGGCUAACUCCGUGCCAGCAGCCGCGGUAAUACGGAGGAUGCAAGCGUUAUCCGGAAUGAUUGGGCGUAAAGAGUCCGUAGGUGGCCCUUCAAGUCUGCUGUUAAAGAGCGAGGCUUAACUUCGGAAAAGCAGUGGAAACUGGAGAGCUAGAGUGUAGUAGGGGCAGAGGGAAUUCCUGGUGUAGCGGUGAAAUGCGUAGAGAUCAGGAAGAACACCGGUGGCGAAAGCGCUCUGCUGGGCUACAACUGACACUGAGGGACGAAAGCUAGGGGAGCGAAUGGGAUUAGAUACCCCAGUAGUC
rnacentral:rRNA from 1 species